UCGCCAUUUGGUUUUUGCUCCCGCGUCCGGGAGGUUCGGGGAUUCCUGCUCUGCCUCCCCGGUUCAGCUCACAGACCAGCUCAUUCCAGCAGAUGAUGUUUGGGUCGGGUGACCACUGGUGGGUCCCAUCCCUGAACCAGUCAGGGAUCAGGGAGUAAUGGAACUGUGCUACAGCGAAAGGAGAGGUGAGUGUAAUUGUAUGAAUUAAGCAGCAAAGCCCAAGCAGAUGAUGGAGACACAGGUGGGCAAAGGACAGAACCGAAUAAAUCAGGUGACAAUAAAAUUGUA
rnacentral:lncRNA from 1 species